rnacentral:piRNA from 1 species
UNGUGGCCACGUUUUUUUAGCCUCCCU